UACGAAGGGGGCUAGCGUUGCUCGGAAUCACUGGGCGUAAAGGGUGCGUAGGCGGGUCUUUAAGUCAGGGGUGAAAUCCUGGAGCUCAACUCCAGAACUGCCUUUGAUACUUAGGAUCUUGAGUACGGGAGAGGUGAGUGGAACUGCGAGUGUAGAGGUGAAAUUCGUAGAUAUUCGCAAGAACACCAGUGGCGAAGGCGGCUCACUGGCCCGUUACUGACGCUGAGGCACGAAAGCGUGGGGAGCAAACAGG
rnacentral:rRNA from 1 species